rnacentral:lncRNA from 1 species
GAUAUGAAAAAUGUGAAUGGAGACGAGCACCCCAUUAACCAGCAGCUCUUAGGCAGCAUUGCUUGUUGGAGGUAUCUUUUCACAGAGGUGAGCCGGCAGCGCCCUGGGCAUUAUGGGAGCAUCCUGAAGGUACGGGGCCUCGUGCUGCAGCCAUUGGAGUGGCUGGCAAGAGUGAUCACAGAAACUGUAAAGCCCUAAGCCCCUGGAAAUGGAGCGCCCUGCGGCUCUGAUUAAGGCUUGUGGAGAGGGAGCUGUAUAAUUGGAUACCCUGAAGCAAACCUCGAGCAGAAUCCUAUGCCAUUUGGAGUAGCUACUUUGAGGACAAGAGACAAAAAGCCUGAGGAGAAAGUCACCAUGAAGGAAACAGAAAGAUUAAACAGCAUGCGUGAUCUUUGAUUCAGAGUCCCCAUCUCACCCUGGACUGCCUUCCUUUGGAAUUCCCUUGUGGAAAAAAAAAUUAAACUCUUA